rnacentral:rRNA from 1 species
GACGUAGGGCGCGAGCGUUGUCCGGAUUUAUUGGGCGUAAAGAGCGUGUCGGCGGCCCGGUAGGUCAGCUGUGAAAACUCGAGGCUCAACCUCGAGACGCCGGUUGAAACCAUCUGGCUAGAGUCCGGAAGAGGAGAGUGGAAUUCCUGGUGUAGCGGUGAAAUGCGCAGAUAUCAGGAAGAACACCCGUGGCUAAGGCGGCUCUCUAGUACGGUACUGACGCUGAGACGCGAAAGCGUGGGGAGCGAACAGG